UAUCUCCAAUGGCAAGUUGAAUUAUCUUUGGGUUUUAUAUUUUUGGCACUUAUAAAGUUUUCAAUAUCAGAAUUAAAUUUGGCUUGUUCAACGGUUUGCUUUCCAGUUGGAAGGCAUUAAGGGAGGAGAUCAUGUAUAAAUCAGUAUGACAACAUUAUAUGUGAAGAAGUAUCAUGAAGAAUGCUUGCAAAAGUUAGGUUUAAAUAAUUCCCCAAUUUGUAGCUAAUUUUAAGGUUUCCAAGGCCAAGAUGCUAAAGAUAUCAAGUACUUUAUAGGAUACAAGUCCAACAUCCAUACUUAAAUGUAAGUAUGCUUGUAGCUUAGGACCAAAUGUAAAUACUUUUGGAUUGAUCGCUCAACCAGAGUUGACCAACCUUUGCAAACUUUCAUGCAAUUGAUAAUCUAUUGAAAUUAAGUAUCCUUUCUCUAAAUACUCGGAAUCCCAGAUUGUGUUUUUGAAAUUCAUUAAGUCAAAUGGACUUGAUAGUCAAAUGGACUUGAAAAUAGCAGUAAUAGCCACCAAAGUUUAAUGCUGAAAAAUUGGCGUUAAUGUUUCUUAUUCAGGAGAGAGAACCAAAACAAUUUCCUUUGGCAGAUUUUGCUUUAUUUUGUCAACUGGAGAACCUGAUGUCUUUGCCAAAGAAAUAUGCAAAUAUGUGUUUGAUUAAAUAAGAUGAAAACUUUAUUGCUGAGAUAUGGCUUUUCUUUCCAUUUCUAACUUCAUUCAUUUCAUGCUCACUGAACCAAGCCUAACUAAGACUCCAUGACUUUCAAUAGGACAGUAAUCCUCUGCUUCUAAAAGAAACUUCUAGUGCUGUGAGCUCCCUAUAAGUUCAAGGUAGUGUGGAUGAGUGAAUCAUCUAUCAUUCCCUGAUAUGUGUGUGGGGCUUUUGGAGGUCAGAUUUGGGCAUGGGUCUAUGCAGAAGGAGAUUCUUCAUGAUGAACAACAACAAAAAAUCUCAUCCUGUCAAAACUGCACGUGCCACUGCUUUAUCACCAUGAUUACACUGAGGUUUUAUUUCAGAGUAUUCUGGAUUUUAAAUUGAAAGUCAAAUAUAAUUUGCCACGAGAAGUAUGAAGUGAGUGACUAGAAAGCUGCUAGCAAGGCCCAGCAUGAUGAAUCAGUGUCUAUGAUAAUGAGCCUCUGCAGGAGGUGGGUCACUGUGCUGCAGUUGAGUGGUAGAAGUAGGCUGGAAGGCUCUGGGUUAAUGCAAAGGCCACAUAUUCUAGAUUGGUUCAACUGGUGUGACGGCCAAAACCAGGCAGACACCAUUCACUUCUUUCAUUGCUCAGGAAUAGCAGCACUAUUUUAACUCCUAUGAUUCUGUGCAAACUUUGGGCAAAUAUAAUGCAGUAUCUACUAGUGCAACUGAACAGAAGGUCUGCCUGGAGAAAUAGCACUGGAGGGAUAUGAAGUAAUGUUUACUGAGUGCUAGACUUGUGCCUGGAAUUGUGAUUUGUACUUUACAUAUAUUCUCUUGUUUAAUGCUCACAAAUUUUAUUAUUUACAUUUUGCAAAUCAAGAAACUGAAACUUUGAGAAACUGAGUGUCUCACAGAAGGUCAAACAUUUAGAGCAAUGUAAGGAAAAUUAACCUUCACUAAGCCUCUACUACAUGACUCCAUGUUGUCUUCUUUGCCUGGUGUGCACAUAUAUGAUCUCUCGGGUUAGUUUUUACCACAGCCCUUGGAAGUUGGUGUUACGAUCAUGUUUUAUAGAGGAAGAAACUGAGUCUCACAGAUGAUAAACUAACCCAAGCUGAAAGAAGCCAGUCAGUCCCAGAAUUAACUUUUUAAUCCAACUCUGCCUGAAAGCAAAGCCCAUGGUCCUAAUCUCAUCUCAUGUUCAGGAAGGUGACUUCAUAAGCUGAAGGAUGAACUAAUUUUCAGAGAAAGACCUCUGCUUUCGAGGGUGUCCUGGGAAUAUCUAUUUUCCCUCAGAAAAUAACUCACUGUUAGACUUUUUCUAGUCUUUUCUUUAGGAUUACCCCACUUGUAUCAGGCUUUGACAGUAUGCUUAACAUGAUCCUAAUACAGUAAUAAGACAUGUUACAAAAACUAACUCUAUUAUAUUUCCCUUCAGGUCACCAGGGAAGGCAGGCUGAGGCACUGUUUUUCUAAUUUUUGCACACUUCCUGACCACCUUCAAUUCUUUCUGGCUACUCACAAAUUUAGAUAGCUUGUAUGCACACCGUUCAUCUACUUGAGGGUCGAAAAGGAUUUGCAGCUACAUAUCUCAAUGUUGAAGAGAUGGAGUGUGUAGUUACCCUGGUUCCAUGUAAGUCAUUUGAAAGGCCUGGAUAUGAGUCGGUAAGGAUGAGUGCAUUCUGUUCGCUGUGUGCCUUGCAGGAGGCUAUCUGGGAACACUGCACAUAAACAUGAUUCUCUCUAAUUUUGGUAGCAUCUUAGUGAGAUUUGUUCUGGUAUGGAGAGCUACAGGUUUAUGCCUCAUUUGUGGUGCUGAUAAUUUAGCAUGGCUUUUUUUUCUAGGCAUCUUAAACAAAUGUAUCUUUGACAGGUACAAAGCUCCAAUGAUAAAAGUAAUGGAAAACCUGAACUUCAUCAUCGGUUGUCUGUUCACUCUGUUUUUUUUUUUUUUUAAACCAAACUAGGCUUCAGCAAUUAAAGACUGAGAACAUUCCCUUUCAGCCCCUUGAAGGGCAGCAUAGGAAGCUGAGAACCCUAUACACAUCAGGUUCGGAGAGCCCUGGGUUCAACCUGGACUUCUGCACUUCCUGCAUUGGUUGAAUUUGAAUAACAUAAUAACUCCUCUGAAAUGUUAUUUCUUCAUCUGUAAAGAUACAUCCUUACCCACUUCUCAAAGGUUAAGUAUUAACAUGGCAUAUCAAAUGUGGAAACAGCUAGCAAAAGACUUCAUGUAUAUUACAGGCUUGAUAAAAUCUUCUCUUGUUGGAUCAAAGCUGUGUGACCUUAGGCAAGUUACUUAACCUUUCUGAGUUUCAGAUUCCUCUUCUAUAAAACUGUGAAAAUAAUACCUACUUGAUAGGGUAGCUUUGAGGAUAAUAUGGUACAACAUAGGUAAAGCACCUGACAUUGUAGGCACUUCCUUGUGACAGCUUUUAUUGUUACGAAGCCUGUGGUUGUGAAAAUGAAAGGGCACAAAUAUUGCUAGGGUAACCAUGCAUUCUUGGUUGCUCCAGACAGAAUCUGUUUAUUCCUGGUUCUGGCAAAAUCAUUAGUAACAUACUCUUUACUCUCAAAAGUUUCCAAAUAAAUUCUGUGGUCACUCUAAAUAUAACUAAUAUGUAGGAAGGAGGCUGACCUGUUGAGAAGGAGAGAGAGAGAGCAUAAUAGUGAUUCCUUUCCCGUAAGUAAUGUUUAUCUAGUUCUUCCAACAGGGUAGUUUAGUUCUUACUAGUUAGCUACUGUUAAGUUGUUGCUUAUUAUUGUUAAGUGGAUAAGCAUCGGCAAUUCAGAAACCUCUAAAUAUACAGAAAACACCUGGGCAGAGGUUUCGAUGAAGUGGUUUGUUCUCUUUUUCUGGUCAUUUUCCACUUACUAGUAUCCCAUUUUCAACAGCACACAGCUUUCAUGCUGCCAUCUGGCUGCCCCCAAUCACUUUUUACUGUUAGCUCUAAGGGGUGGCCCAUUAAGUGUCCUGGCUGCCUGGACACCCUCCUGCACCUACUGGUGAUUUUAAAAAGGCUCAGUUUCUCUUCACUCAGUCCUUUGCUCCCACAAGCAUACCUCCUCUUAUUUUUGCUGUAGGAGUUUUCCUGCUAUGCCAGACAACCUUUGGAUAGGGAUAGCAACGGAGGCUAACUUAUUCCUCGUGACCUCAUUGAAUUCCGCUGGCUCGCUCUGGGCCCACACCAUAGGUACAGAAAUGCAUGGAUCUGUGCCUUGAGCUGGGAGUAAGGGCAGGGAGGAAUAUAUUCCUGAGUCCUGCGUCUUCCUUUGGCACUGUCUGCAGUCUGCUCUUCCCACUGCUCUGUUUUCUCCCAGUACACCCCAUCCAAUAUCUUUCUUGUCUAUGGAGGAGUAAAUGAGAAACAAAAUGGUGGUCUUUUGUGUCCCAGGGAACCACCAAACUUUGAGAAGGACCUGAAAGGCACAUCCUAGGAGAGCUGGAGUCAUCAAGAGGAGCAAAUAUUUUGUUUUUUUCUCCACAAAUCCCGACCCUCUCCCUUUCCUUUUCAGUUCACUUCAACUUCCUCUUCAGGAGAGAGGAGAGAUAUCAGCUGUCCUGGGGCCUGCUUUUAUUUCCAAUGAUUAUUGUCUCAUACCUGAUGACUGGGUAGGGACCGUUUCUGGCCGGGGUGACUUUGGCGUCUAGACCCUGGCAUACAUCUGAGCCAUCUGCAGCUGGUGAAAAAUAACCCACCACAUAAAACACCACAGCUAGUGAACAUUUCCCACCUUUUAUCCUCUGGCUUCGUAGGGCUGUGACAGACGGUGCCCCAGCAGGGACUAUGCAGCUCAACUGCCAAAGGGGAGCGCCAGCCAUCGUGAUGGUCCUGACUUCAGAUCUGGGGUUCGGACUCUGUUUGUGCUAACACUCUUCGCUCAACCUGAGGAACUAUGCACAGUUAGAACUUGGCAAUAAAAGUUGUUGACUAAAGGAUUGGAGAAUCUUUUCUAACAUUAUGAAUCUGAAAGGAGCAUGAGGGUUUGUCCUUCUAAGUUAACCUUUGUAUUUUAGGUAGAGGGAAUCUAAUGUGUAGAAAUUUAAGGUCAUACUCCUUGUCAGUAAGGAGUUAAGACCAGGGUCCAGAUCCCUGCUCAGUCAGUGCUAUUUCCAUUCUGGGUGCCUUUCUUACUUUUGUAUGUCAUCAUUUUUAUUGGUUAUCUACGUAAUAUGAAGAAGCAAAAGGUAUCUACUUUCUUACACUACACAGAAAGUUUCCAGAAAGUUCAGUUUUAUGUAAUACAUAUGUUAGCUAAUAUCAUUGAUCUUUGACUCAUUAUAUCAAAUAUUUCCUAGGCUUCUUUAGAUAUAUAUGCUGAUAUAUGCUGUUUAUUUCUGACCAGACUACCUUACUCCGGAGUGAGUACUAGAGACCACUUGGAGUGGUGAAAAAGGCUAGGGUUUUAGGGUCUAAGAUACCUAAAAUGGAAUUCCAAUUUCCUAUUGCCAGUUAUAUGAUCUGUAACUGUCUUUCAAAGAGAAAAAGGUUUUAAUUUUUAUGAAAUUUCAUUUAUCACUAUUUUAGUAGUCUUUUGUGUCUUGUCUAAGACAUCUUUGUGUAACCCAGGUUGAGGUUUAUUAUUAUUUUUUUCUUACAGAUAUCCAGUUGUUCCAGUGCAAUUUAUUGAAUAGACUUUUUCUUCAUUGAAUUACCUCAGUGCCUUUGUUGAAAAUAAAUUGGCCAUAAAUGUGUGAGUUUAUUUGUGGAUUCUCAACUUAUACCAAUGCCACACUGACAUGAGUACUACAGCUUUGUUUUAAGUAAUGAAGGCAAAUAAAGCUAACACUUCAAGCUUACUCUUGAGUUCAUGAUUGUUUUUGGCUAUUCUAGGUUAUUUUCUCUUUUCAUGUAAAGUAUAAAAUAACUUGUCAAUUUAUUCAACAAAGCC